UGGGGAAUAUUGGACAAUGGGCGCAAGCCUGAUCCAGCCAUGCCGCGUGGGUGAAGAAGGCCUUCGGGUUGUAAAGCCCUUUUGUCCGGAAAGAAAUCCUGUCGGUUAAUACCCGGCGGGGAUGACGGUACCGGGAGAAUAAGCACCGGCUAACUUCGUGCCAGCAGCCGCGGUAAUACGAAGGGUGCAAGCGUUACUCGGAAUUACUGGGCGUAAAGCGUGCGUAGGCGGUUCGUUAAGUCCGAUGUGAAAGCCCUGGGCUCAACCUGGGAACUGCAUUGGAUACUGGCGAGCUAGAGUGCGGUAGAGGAUGGUGGAAUUCCCGGUGUGGCGGUGAAAUGCGUAGAGAUCGGGAGGAACACCAGUGGCGAAGGCGGCCAUCUGGACCAGCACUGACGCUGAGGCACGAAAGCGUGGGGAGCAAACA
rnacentral:rRNA from 1 species